rnacentral:rRNA from 1 species
UGGGGAAUAUUGGACAAUGGGCGCAAGCCUGAUCCAGCCAUACCGCGUGGGUGAAGAAGGCCUUCGGGUUGUAAAGCCCUUUUGUUGGGAAAGAAAUCCAGCUGGCUAAUACCCGGUUGGGAUGACGGUACCCAAAGAAUAAGCACCGGCUAACUUCGUGCCAGCAGCCGCGGUAAUACGAAGGGUGCAAGCGUUACUCGGAAUUACUGGGCGUAAAGCGUGCGUAGGUGGUCGUUUAAGUCCGUUGUGAAAGCCCUGGGCUCAACCUGGGAACUGCAGUGGAUACUGGGCGACUAGAGUGUGGUAGAGGGUAGCGGAAUUCCUGGUGUAGCAGUGAAAUGCGUAGAGAUCAGGAGGAACAUCCAUGGCGAAGGCAGCUACCUGGACCAACACUGACACUGAGGCACGAAAGCGUGGGGAGCAAAUAGGAUUAGAUACCCUGGUAGUCCACGCCCUAAACGAUGCGAACUGGAUGUUGGGUGCAAUUUGGCACGCAGUAUCGAAGCUAACGCGUUAAGUUCGCCGCCUGGGGAGUACGGUCGCAAGACUG